rnacentral:rRNA from 1 species
UACGAAGGGUGCAAGCGUUACUCGGAAUUACUGGGCGUAAAGCGUGCGUAGGCGGUUCGUUAAGUCUGAUGUGAAAGCCCUGGGCUCAACCUGGGAAUGGCAUUGGAAACUGGCGACCUAGAGUGCGGUAGAGGGUAGUGGAAUUCCCGGUGUAGCAGUGAAAUGCGUAGAGAUCGGGAGGAACAUCUGUGGCGAAGGCGACUGCCUGGACCAGCACUGACACUGAGGCACGAAAGCGUGGGGAGCAAACAGG